rnacentral:lncRNA from 1 species
GCUUUCCAAGCAACUUUUAGAAUUUUAUUCCCCACCGUUUGGAUAAGCUUCAAGGUUUACGGGCCUAAUGCAAAUUAUCCAAACAGAACAAAAUUUCAGUAUAUAAUAGAAUAAGUUGAGAGGAUUAAACUUCUCAACUGACCCCACAAAGAUUGAUGACUAAAUCCUAAGGAAAAACAGAGAACAAAGGAUAUUUAGAGUAAAAAUGAACUUACUCUGUUUGAAAAUCUGAUCGGGUAGAAAUGUUCCUUAACUCCUCUGCUACAGCGUGGUAUGAUCAGAUUCUAAAAUAGAUGAAGAUUGGGAGAGAAAUUAAGAGAGAGGGAGAGAAGAGAAUUGGAGAGAGAGAGAAAGUGGUUUGGAAGAAUGAAGAAGAAAGUGAUAGUGGGCAC